rnacentral:rRNA from 1 species
UACGGAGGGGGCUAGCGUUGUUCGGAAUUACUGGGCGUAAAGCGCGCGUAGGCGGCUUUGUAAGUUAGAGGUGAAAGCCCGGAGCUCAACUCCGGAACUGCCUUUAAAACUGCAUCGCUUGAAUCCAGGAGAGGUGAGUGGAAUUCCGAGUGUAGAGGUGAAAUUCGUAGAUAUUCGGAAGAACACCAGUGGCGAAGGCGGCUCACUGGACUGGUAUUGACGCUGAGGUGCGAAAGCGUGGGGAGCAAACAGGG